CGAACGCUGGCGGCGUGCCUAAUACAUGCCCGUCGAGCGGACUGAUUAAGAGCUUGCUCUUAUGACGUUAGCGGCGGACGGGUGAGUAACACGUGGGCAACCUGCCCUGUAGAUCGGGAUAACACCGAGAAAUCGGUGCUAAUACCGGGUAAUAUCUGAGAUCACAUGAUCUUAGGUUAAAAGAUGGCUCCGGCUAUCACUACAGGAUGGGCCCGCGGCGCAUUAGCUAGUUGGUAAGGUAAUGGCUUACCAAGGCGACGAUGCGUAGCCGACCUGAGAGGGUGAUCGGCCACACUGGGACUGAGACACGGCCCAGACUCCUACGGGAGGCAGCAGUAGGGAAUCUUCCGCAAUGGACGAAAGUCUGACGGAGCAACGCCGCGUGAGUGAUGAAGGGUUUCGGCUCGUAAAGCUCUGUUGUUAGGGAAGAAACAGUACCGAACGAACUAGGUCGGUACCUUGACGGUACCUAACCAGAAAGCCACGGCUAACUACGUG
rnacentral:rRNA from 1 species